rnacentral:rRNA from 1 species
GACAGAGGGUGCGAACGUUGCUCGGAAUUAUUGGGCGUAAAGGGUAGGUAGGUGGUCUCAUUUGUCUGGGGUGAAAUCCUUGAGCUUAACUCAAGAAGUGCCUCAGAAACGGUGAGACUAGAGUUCUGGAGAGGGUCGUGGAAUUCCCGGUGUAGCGGUGAAAUGCGUAGAGAUCGGGAGGAACACCAGAGGCGAAGGCGGCGACCUGGACAGAUACUGACACUAAACUACGAAAGCGUGGGGAGCAAACAGG